rnacentral:lncRNA from 1 species
CUGGCAGGAGCAGAUUCCAAAGGCACAGGAAGAAGCUUGCAGUACAAAGAUAAAAAUCUAAAGUGGUUGCUGUGGAGGACAGGGGUCAGUGGUGGAAGUGAGACCGAAAUAGACUCUGAAGUAAUAUCUGGACUUUGAAAUUCUUGCCUGUUCACUCUGGCUGGUCAUAUGCAGAAAACCGAAACUAGACCCCUUUCUGACACCUUAUAUAAAAAUUAACUCAAGAUGCAUUAAAGAUUUAAACGUGAGACCUAAAACCAGAAAAAUCCUAGAAGAAAACCUAGGCAAUACCAUUGAGGACAUAAGCAUGGGCAAAGACUUUCAUGACUAAAACACCAAAAGGAAUGGCAACAAAAGCCAAAAUUGACAAAAGGUUUCCUUAACGACAACAAAAAAGGGAGUAAUCCUACCUACUGUAAGAGUCAUGACUCUUGAUUGCAGCUGACAGAAACUCAUGACAGCCUGGUUUAGAUAAAGGGGGAGAGAAGGACUGGAAGAAUCUUGGAGUUGGGAAUGUCGCACGCAGCUAUUCCCAACCCCAGAACCUUUGCUGUCUUGGAACAGAUCACCACUGCAAGAGGGGAAGUUGCUACUGUGAUGAAUUCUGCCAUGUGGUACCAGACUGCUACCCAGACCACAGUGUCCUCUGCAACCCUCGUAACUCACAUACAGGCCUGAUUCCACCUACAGCAAAGCUGGAUGCUAUGGUUGGCAGAGGCAAACCCUUUGCCUGCACUUCAGGCCAAAGCCGGGAUGUGGCCUAGAUGGUUCCUAAGGUCCCUGACAAUCCUGAGAUCUUGCAUCUUGUCUAUUUCAGGUCAAAGCUUCUCAGAUGACCAAGAUGGUGCUGCAGAUGGUGCUGAGGAUGGAGAACCCACCAAGCC